rnacentral:rRNA from 2 species
AAAUUGAAGAGUUUGAUCAUGGCUCAGAUUGAACGCUGGCGGCAGGCCUAACACAUGCAAGUCGAACGGUAACAGAAAGCAGCUUGCUGCUUUGCUGACGAGUGGCGGACGGGUGAGUAAUGUCUGGGAAACUGCCUGAUGGAGGGGGAUAACUACUGGAAACGGUAGCUAAUACCGCAUAACGUCGCAAGACCAAAGAGGGGGACCUUCGGGCCUCUUGCCAUCGGAUGUGCCCAGAUGGGAUUAGCUUGUUGGUGGGGUAACGGCUCACCAAGGCGACGAUCCCUAGCUGGUCUGAGAGGAUGACCAGCCACACUGGAACUGAGACACGGUCCAGACUCCUACGGGAGGCAGCAGUGGGGAAUAUUGCACAAUGGGCGCAAGCCUGAUGCAGCCAUGCCGCGUGUAUGAAGAAGGCCUUCGGGUUGUAAAGUACUUUCAGCGGGGAGGAAGGGAGUAAAGUUAAUACCUUUGCUCAUUGACGUUACCCGCAGAAGAAGCACCGGCUAACUCCGUGCCAGCAGCCGCGGUAAUACGGAGGGUGCAAGCGUUAAUCGGAAUUACUGGGCGUAAAGCGCACGCAGGCGGUUUGUUAAGUCAGAUGUGAAAUCCCCGGGCUCAACCUGGGAACUGCAUCUGAUACUGGCAAGCUUGAGUCUCGUAGAGGGGGGUAGAAUUCCAGGUGUAGCGGUGAAAUGCGUAGAGAUCUGGAGGAAUACCGGUGGCGAAGGCGGCCCCCUGGACGAAGACUGACGCUCAGGUGCGAAAGCGUGGGGAGCAAACAGGAUUAGAUACCCUGGUAGUCCACGCCGUAAACGAUGUCGACUUGGAGGUUGUGCCCUUGAGGCGUGGCUUCCGGAGCUAACGCGUUAAGUCGACCGCCUGGGGAGUACGGCCGCAAGGUUAAAACUCAAAUGAAUUGACGGGGGCCCGCACAAGCGGUGGAGCAUGUGGUUUAAUUCGAUGCAACGCGAAGAACCUUACCUGGUCUUGACAUCCACAGAACCUUGUAGAGAUACGAGGGUGCCUUCGGGAACUGUGAGACAGGUGCUGCAUGGCUGUCGUCAGCUCGUGUUGUGAAAUGUUGGGUUAAGUCCCGCAACGAGCGCAACCCUUAUCCUUUGUUGCCAGCGGUCCGGCCGGGAACUCAAAGGAGACUGCCAGUGAUAAACUGGAGGAAGGUGGGGAUGACGUCAAGUCAUCAUGGCCCUUACGACCAGGGCUACACACGUGCUACAAUGGCGCAUACAAAGAGAAGCGACCUCGCGAGAGCAAGCGGACCUCAUAAAGUGCGUCGUAGUCCGGAUUGGAGUCUGCAACUCGACUCCAUGAAGUCGGAAUCGCUAGUAAUCGUGGAUCAGAAUGCCACGGUGAAUACGUUCCCGGGCCUUGUACACACCGCCCGUCACACCAUGGGAGUGGGUUGCAAAAGAAGUAGGUAGCUUAACCUUCGGGAGGGCGCUUACCACUUUGUGAUUCAUGACUGGGGUGAAGUCGUAACAAGGUAACCGUAGGGGAACCUGCGGUUGGAUCACCUCCUUA